GCAGUCGCCGCGGUAAUACGGAGGGUGCAAGCGUUAAUCGGAAUUACUGGGCGUAAAGCGCACGCAGGCGGUUUGUUAAGUCAGAUGUGAGAUCCCCGAGCUUAACUUGGGAACUGCAUUUGAAACUGGCAAGCUAGAGUCUUGUAGAGGGGGGUAGAAUUCCAGGUGUAGCGGUGAAAUGCGUAGAGAUCUGGAGGAAUACCGGUGGCGAAGGCGGCCCCCUGGACAAAGACUGACGCUCAGGUGCGAAAGCGUGGGGAGCAAACAGGAUUAGAUACCCCGGUAGUCCCUGUCUCUUAUAC
rnacentral:rRNA from 1 species